UUGAACGCUGGCGGCAUGCCUUACACAUGCAAGUCGAACGGUAGAGGGGCAACCCUUGAGAGUGGCGAACGGGUGAGUAAUGCAUCGGAACGUGCCCAGUCGUGGGGGAUAACGCAGCGAAAGCUGUGCUAAUACCGCAUGUGAUCUGUGGAUGAAAGCAGGGGACCGCAAGGCCUUGCGCGAUUGGAGCGGCCGAUGUCAGAUUAGCUAGUUGGUAGGGUAAAAGCCUACCAAGGCGACGAUCUG
rnacentral:rRNA from 1 species